AGCUCCCCAGCUCUGAGCGCCCCAGUAUUAGCCUCUGGGGGCUCCAGCUCCCCAAAACCCCUUGUCUCUUGGUCCUUCCAGAAUCACCUCCUCGAUCCAGACUCAGGUUCCCUCAUACCACAGCCACUGGGUCCCUAGGCCCUUCCUCCUAGACCCUCCCAGUCCUUCCCUGACAGGACACAGAGAGAAGGUGGCCAUCUACACACCAGGAAAACUGCCCUCAGCGGGAAUGGCACCACGCUGGCUCCUGGAGGCCACGCCAGAGACCUCCUUAGUGAACCCUGUUUAUACAAGGCCGUAAUUCUUGCUGAUCACACAGUACACUACUAUGGCCGUAUGUUCUGUGCAUGUAAGAGUUGUGCAAAUAAAA